UACAGAGGUCUCAAGCGUUGUUCGGAUUCAUUGGGCGUAAAGGGUGCGUAGGUGGCGCUGUAAGUCAGGUGUGAAAUUUCGGAGCUUAACUCCGAAACUGCAUUUGAUACUGCGGUGCUCGAGGACUGGAGAGGAGACUGGAAUUUACGGUGUAGCAGUGAAAUGCGUAGAGAUCGUAAGGAAGACCAGUGGCGAAGGCGGGUCUCUGGACAGUUCCUGACACUGAGGCAACGGAAGGCCCAGGGGGAGCAAAACGGG
rnacentral:rRNA from 1 species